CACUGCAGGAAACAGUGGGAUCAACAGAGAAACAGCUGCAGUGGGUGGGAGAGAUGCUGCUAAGUCUUACCUCACAGCACCUUACAGUCCCAUGAACUGUUUCCUGCUCAGUAUGAAAGAGUUGGUGGAGGUUGCUGCUUAAGACCCAGGUUUUCCCUUUCAGUGUAGAGGGAUGUGACUAGUCUGGGUUUACAUCUUUCACGAGGAGACAGGAGAUCUAAGAGGCUAAAGGCAUACCUAGAUGCAGUUUAUGGAUCUAGCCCUUAGCAAUUUUUCACUCUGAAGGUUGUAUAACCACUCUGUCAGAACCAGGAAGCAAUAAGAAGGUCUGAAAUCUACUUUUAAGGUUUCCAGUUAAUAAAACACAAAUGACAAUAGUUUGAAGUUCUCCCUCCCCCAACCUUAAAAACAUAGAAGUAAAUUAUAGCAAUUGGGCACUUAAGUGUUUAAAAAGAUUCCUGGACUGAAGCAUGAAAUAAAACAAAGUAUUUAAGCAAAAGUACUUUUAUUAGUAGUAAAGGGAAACGUGAUAUCUAAGAACUGUCAGAUGAGAAAGUUUGAUACAAAAUGUUUUUUGUAAGUUAAAUCAGUAAGGAACUGUCUGGAAAGGACUGCAAAAUGAUUUCACAAUUUUCAAUGCCCUUGGCCAUGAAGGAGUGAUGAAAUCUGAUAAAACAGAAAGAACUGAACAAGGGGUAAAUAAGUCUAACUAUACACACACAGGCAGGGACUACAAAGUAACUAUUGCUUGAGAAGGAAAAAUAAGGAAUAACAUCAGACAUCUCUCUGAAAACAUCAAGUCAAGCACCCAGUAUCAAGUAAAAAUGUGAAACAGGAUAUUUGGAUGAUUAAGAAAGAAACGGUAAACAAAAUAGAAAACAUAUAUAUAUAUAUAUAUAUAUAUCACAGUAUAAAUACACUGUAUCGCUAUAUCACUGUAUAAAUACAUCAUACACUCUUAUUUUGAAUAAUUCAUGCAACCCUGGUCAUUCUACUUCAGGAGAAAGAAGGGCAAGACAGAGAGAGAAGAUUGACAGAAGAAAGAAGUAAAUUCACAGAAUAUAGGACAAAUUCAGACUACUCAUCAUAGUGCACCACCCUGAUUUGGGAAGCAUUUGAACUGUACAUAUUGGAUAUAGAGCCCUGAAGAUGUCUGGAAGUCAACAGCUGAAGGUUUCCCUAAUCUGUAGGGAUCAGUGGAGGCCUUAUAACAAGACUGUACCCCUACCAAGGCACACAGUCAGGUACACACAACUAUGUGGGCUCGUGGCUUGAGUCAGUGCAGCCAUUCCUACUUUAUGCACAACCAAGUGUCUUCUUGAAAGAGCUGACAGACAAUAUCAGGGAAGGAUUCUGAGGAAAAGUGUAGGCAAGGUUAGAAAUAAAUAUAUAGGCAAAUGACCAUGCUGUCCUUCCGUCUCAGGAUACAUUAUAAUAGUUUGGAUUUUUUCAGUCGUUUUCCCGUAACACCUUGUGGCUACUGAGGUAGCUGGUAUUAAAUCCCUUCCCAAAUCAUGCAUCCGGUUCAGUUGCUGAACCCAGAAGGUAGGUCAAACUGAAUUUCCCAGAGGUUAUGCCAAAUUUCCCAGUGGAAUUUUUGUUUUUUGUUGGUUUUUUUGGUUGGUUUUUUUUUUUUUUUUUUUGGUAGCGGAGGGUGGUAAGGUGCCACACAGAUGAAUCCUAUCUCAGCACCAAAAGGUAGGCAGGCAUGGAUAACCUCCAUAUCUGCUAUCAUGCCAGAAGCAGUGGCAAAAUUAUGCAAAAUCUGGAGCUUGGCUAAAUAAAAUUAGUAGAAAUACUACCUGUGUUUUGAUAUUGCUUUACGUUGUGCCUCUUAUUGCAAAAAGUUAUAUGCAACUGAGUAAUGGAGUUCUUUCAAAUAUGUAAAAAUAAUAUGCAAAAAAUCUGUAUUAUGGGGUGAUACUAUGAAACUACUUUGCAAUCCCAUUUUUUAAAUGAUAGGUGGAUUGUAAUAAAACUUUGAGCUACAUUUAAUUGAAGAAUAAUUUAGGCAGAGAAGAUUUUGGUAAAUUGAUACCAUGGCUAUAGGAUUUAAAUCCAGUAUUAUUUUGAUAAAAAUGGAGAGAAAUUACUGAGGUGGGAAUCAUUCUUCAAGCACUGCUGAGCAUUGAGUUU